rnacentral:snoRNA from 1 species
GUGAUGACCUAACCGCCGCCCUGAGGAGUGAAGAAAGGCAAAGUGCUGA